UAGAAAAUGGUUCACCUAUUUUCCACAGCCU
rnacentral:piRNA from 1 species